rnacentral:lncRNA from 1 species
UCUCCAUAAAUUUAGCUGACAUACACCACACCCACCUUUGGUUAUUCGAAUAAUGUUUUGUCUCCGUAUAUACCACCACAUCUUCACCACAAUAUAUAAUACAAGCUAGCUUGGUCAUUCUAUCUCAUUUUACCAUCAUCCUGGUAGAUCAAAUAGGUGUAGACAAUGGCAGAACGGAGAGAAAGGAGAGUGCAAGUGGGAAUAGGAGAUAUCCAGAAUUGAUUCCUAUCUAGCAUCGUUUCACUAGGUUUCAAAAAAAGCAGCUGGGUUAUGCGACCUUAGAGAACAUUCCCUUGUUUCAAUAGUGAAACAACAUAGUACACAAUUUGUACUAAUAAGGACUAGCUGAUUGGAAAUCUGAGAAACUGCAACUGGUGUUAGACCACAAAGAAAGGAAAAUAUUGCAUUUCUCUUAAGCAUGUGACAGAACAAAUUGCAUAGCAGAAGGGAAAACGAAACCCUACUAAACAAGGGUGUAGAAGCAUUUCAGAAAAUCCUAGCAAUCACAACCAUCACACAACCGCCGCGGAGGCAUCUGCCGCUUCUUCGGAGUUUACCUGCUACGUGUGUCCGCCACACAGCCGCCACAUGCAACAGCACCGUCAACGAGGCAGAGCUG